GUUCUCUGACUGUUAAUUGAGACAGUGUUUGCAAAGAGAAGUGAAUUAAGUAUGGAACUAUUAUAGAAUUCAGGUUCCUCCAUGAACUGGCUGUGCAAUUUUAUGCUCCCCACUUCAGUUCCCUGAGCCUCAUUUUAUCGUCUGAAACACUGGCUCAGGGAAUUGGAAAAUGAAAAAUGGCUCUGAAAGGUUUACUGGUUUUAGGUGUCGUCUUUUGACUUCCUACCAUGGAAAGUAAGACCAUGAGGCACAGCUGCAGAGCGUAUGGACUCCAGAGAGAAAUUACUCGGGUUUAAAUCCAAUACCUAACUAAUACUUAACUUGUAUGACCUUAUACAAGUUGCUUUACUGCUGUGCAUCUCGGUUUCCUCGUGUGUAUAACGGAUGCUAAUAGUAGCUACGUCAUACAGUGAUUGUGAAGAUUAAAAAUUGAAUAUAUAAUGAGCUUAGAAUAACGCCUGGCACACAAUGCAAAAAACUGAAGCUUGGAGAAUUCAUGUCAUCACCCAAGAGCACGUAGAGCCAUGAUUCCCAGCCAGGCCUGCUGACCUCAGGGCCAUUUGCUUAAUUGUA